AUGCUUGCUUUGUCAGCACAUAUACUAAAAUUGGAACAAUACAGAGAUUAGCCGGGGCCCUGUGCAAGGAUGACAUGAAAACUCGUGAAGUGUUUCAUAUUUAU
ensembl:snRNA U6 U6 spliceosomal RNA